rnacentral:rRNA from 1 species
AACGUACGCUGGCGGCACGCCUAACACAUGCAAGUCGAACGAAGUAGCAAUACUUAGUGGCAGACGGGUGAGUAACAUGUAGGUAUCUGCCCUUUGGCCUGGAAUAACACGAGGAAACUUGUGCUAAUACCGGAUAAGUCUUUACGGAGAAAGCUUUAUGCACCAUUGGAUGAGCCUGCACUUGAAUAGUUUGUUGGUAGGGUAAUGGCCUACCAAGACUUUGAUCAAUAGCUGAUUUGAGAGGAUGAUCAGCCACAUUGGGACUGAGACACGGCCCAAACUCCUACGGGAGGCAGCAGUGGGGAAUCUUGCACAAUGGAGGAAACUCUGAUGCAGCGAUGCCGCGUGAGUGAAGAAGGCCUUUGGGUUGUAAAGCUCUUUCGUCGGGGAAGAAAAUGACUGUACCCGAAUAAGAAGGUCCGGCUAACUUCGUGCCAGCAGCCGCGGUAAUACGAAGGGACCUAGCGUAGUUCGGAAUUACUGGGCUUAAAGAGUUCGUAGGUGGUUGAAAAAGUUGGUGGUGAAAUCCCAGAGCUUAACUCUGGAACUGCCAUCAAAACUUUUCAGCUAGAGUUUGAUAGAGGAAAGCAGAAUUUCUAGUGUAGAGGUGAAAUUCGUAGAUAUUAGAAAGAAUACCAAUUGCGAAGGCAGCUUUCUGGAUCAUUACUGACACUGAGGAACGAAAGCAUGGGUAGCGAAGAGGAUUAGAUACCCUCGUAGUCCAUGCCGUAAACGAUGUGUGUUAGACGUUGGAAAUUUAUUUUCAGUGUCGCAGCGAAAGCGAUAAACACACCGCCUGGGGAGUACGACCGCAAGGUUAAAACUCAAAUGAAUUGACGGGGACCCGCACAAGUAGUGGAGCAUGUGGUUUAAUUCGAAGAUACGCGCAGAACCUUACCAACACUUGACAUGUUCGUCGCGACUUUAAGAGAUUAAAGUUUUCGGUUCGGCCGGACGAAACACAGGUGCUGCAUGGCUGUCGUCAGCUCGUGUCGUGAGAUGUUGGGUUAAGUCCCGCAACGAGCGCAACCCUCACUUUUAGUUGCCAUCAUUUAGUUGGGCACUCUGAAAGAACUGCCAGUGAUAAGCUGGAGGAAGGUGGGGAUGACGUCAAGUCCUCAUGGCCCUUACGUGUUGGGCUACACACGUGCUACAAUGGUAUUUACAAAAGGAAGCAAGACGGCGACGUUAAGCAAAUCCUUAAAAAAUACCUCAGUUCGGAUUGCACUCUGCAACUCGAGUGCAUGAAGCUGGAAUUACUAGUAAUCGUGGAUCAGCGUGCCACGGUGAAUGCGUUCCCGGGUCUUGUACACACCGCCCGUCACACCAUGGGAGUUGGUUCUACCUUAAGGCAAGGUUUUAAACCCUUGACCACGGUAUAGUCAGCGACUGGGGUG